ACUCCUACGGGAGGCAGCAGUGGGGAAUAUUGCACAAUGGGCGCAAGCCUGAUGCAGCCAUGCCGCGUGUGUGAAGAAGGCCUUCGGGUUGUAAAGCACUUUCAGUCGUGAGGAAGGUAGUGUAGUUAAUAGCUGUAUUAUUUGACGUUAGCGACGAGAAGAAGCGACGUAACUCCGUGCCAGCAGCCGCGGUAAUACGGAGGGUGCGAGCGUUAAUCGGAAUUACUGGGCGUAAAGCGCAUGCAGGUGGUUUGUUAAGUCAGAUGUGAAAGCCCGGGGCUCAACCUCGGAAUUGCAUUUGAAACUGGCAGACUAGAGUACUGUAGA
rnacentral:rRNA from 1 species